CAAACUGGACAAGCAGGACACAAAAGAAAGCAACUGCUGAACAUUGCAAAGACAAGCCCCUGCUACAACUCUAUUGCCUGCAGACAUGUCUUUGGGACUGCAGAUGAACUUCCUACAAAUCCUCUACCAGGAAGAUUCACCUACUAGCAAAAAUACCAAGGGCUGGAAGAGAAGGCUGGGGCCAUAUUGGUGUGGCAACAGAGAUAGCAACAGGCUUGUAGAAAGUCAUGGAUCGCAGUGCGAGACUGAGCCUGGGAUAAUCCUGAGACAUGGAAUACUGGAACCGUGCUCAGUCCACUUAGCAUGGGCAAAAGUCAGGGAAAGCACUUGUGGAAAAUGAAGCUGAAGACUCAUUUGGAAGCAGGCAGUCAGCCCAGACAGUUUACACUGAAGAAAGAGGUCCAAGAAGGGCAGUGAAUUAAACCCAGCAGACAGGAAGACCUCAGAACAGGAAAGAUGAUUCAAUGUCCAUCCAUCUAGCAGCUGGGCAUAGGGACAGCCACAAGAUCUGACAGAUAGGGCAAGGCACUGUCGUUGGGUCGAGUUACAGCAACAAUGACCCUGGCUAUGAAAUAAAUGCCUUGCAGACUCUCAGCACAGAAGAUACAAGUUUGCAAGCCGUGGAUUCUCUGCUUCUUGCAGGUAGAAAUAACUGGAGGUGCAGCUGCGGUACUGAACAAAUCCAGGUGUUGAGGAAAUCUGGCCCAAAUGACCUCUGCUGGCCGGUUGGGCUAGCCAUACAUACAUACAUUUCUAUACAUCAUUUCCACCCCGAACCUACCUGAAGGUCUCCCACCCACCCAAGAGGAUGCCACAAAUACCUAUGACAUGCUGCUUGUGUAGUGCCAUGAUUGGAAACCCCUAGUUGACUAUCAUUGAUUUUUGUCAUUAACCUCUUCAUCCCUCCCCCUUUUUUUUUGACGGCUUCUCAAUUUUUUUUCCUCUCCACAUUUUUCCAAUUUUUAUAUAUUCCCUCUGGAUGUUUUAAAGACAAUUUCAGGAUAUACAAAUUCUUCUAAGGAAAACUAAAGAAAAGAAAGUUGGUAAAGGAAUAACAGACGUGGUCUUAACCUAGGGCCGGUGGUAAAACAGCGAGACUGCAUUGUGCAAGUGUCCAUGUUUAGGAGCUGUUUCUCCAGCCAGCCGAUGAACUCAAACCCUCAUCCAAGAGUAGCUAUGUAUUUACACACUGAUGAUUAGUGUUGUCAGCUUGACAAUCUAGAAUCACCUGGGAGAGGGGCCUUUAAAUAUAUCUGUGAGGUUAUCUUGAUUGCCUUAGUUCAUGUGGAAAGGCCACUCACUACGGGUGGGACUGUUCCACAGUUGAGAUAAGCGGCACGUAUUCAGCACUCUGCUUCCUGACUGUGGAUGCAAUGUGGCUACCUAAUUCUGCUGCCAUACCUUUCUCUCCAUGGUGGACUGCAAACCAAAAUAAAUCCUUCCUUCUUUGAGUUGCUUAAUGCAGGGUACACACACCCACAGAGAUAAAAACAGAGACACAGAGACAGAGAUGACAGAGACAGAGAGUGAACACAGAACUCUUCAGAAAUAGAAUCAGAUCUGCAUUCCUCAAAGCUACUGUCUAGUAGCUUGGUGACUACUCUGGAACACUCUGUGGCUCGGUUUCCUUUGCUGUGAAUGGAGAGCUUGCUAUGGUUUGAAUAUAAAUUGUCAUUCACAGGCUCAUGUGUUUGAAGACUUGGUUCCCAGGUGGUGGCAGUGUUUUGGAAGGUUGUAGAACCUACCAGGUGUGACCUAGCUAACAGAAGUAUGUUGUUGGGGGGUGGACUUUGAAGGUGAUAUUCACUUCUUCCAGUGUAAAGGCUUUGCUUUCGUAUCUGCCAUGGGCCCCCACAGCUAUCAACCCAUUGUGCCUUCCUCACUAUGAUGGGCUAAAACUGUGAGCUAAAACAAAUCUUAACUAACACAGAGAGGUACUGAGCUGUACAGAAGCUCUGGCUUGCACACAUCAAAUGGUAUCCUGAAUGUGAAAUCAAGCUGGAAAUUCAAAAGUCCAAUAAAAGUGCUAGCUUUUUCUUACACUCUCAAAUCUCUCAAUUCCAUCAAAGCAGAAGGGCAGGGCCAAAAGUCAAACCAAACCAGUCUGUCAGUGAGGGACAUGCAGUUUUAGAAACACAGUACACAUCCUCCAUGACAUUAAAAUCUCACCCAGUUCCUCAUUAGCUUUGUGUACAAGUAGAGAGGGGACAGAAGCAAUGUGGCAGUUAUCCACAUUAUUAAAUUAAUUAUCCUGAUAUUUGGACAAAUGCAAUUAUAAAGCCUUGCUUCUCCGUUCCUAUCUGGACACACCCCUCUCUUCUGGUGUGUAAACAUCACCAAGAGCACAGGCCCUGUGCAAACAAGCUGCCCUGUGGAGAACAACUGUUCUAAGAGGUUCCUGCAAUUAUCCUUGCAUGGCGUUGAUUUUGUUACCAACCCUCCUGAGAGCCAGCUCCGAGGAAGGAAGGAAUAGUUCAAGAUUUUCACUUCAACUGAUAACAGUUGUGACCCCAGUAGAGCCCCACCAAAUGAUGCUGGAACCUAAGACCCAAGUGAUCUGAGCUAGCAAAUUAAACAAUAAGCCCAAGGAACCAGGCCCCACUUUAUUACCAAGAGAGUAACACCUUUUAAUUGGUUAACACAACAAAGAGAGAGGUGGCAGCUUUGGGAAGCCAGCUUCAGGUCUGCUCACCCAUUAGGCCGGUUUGAGAAAACAGAACCCUUUCCUCCCUUAAUUUGGAAGCUGUGAUUUUGAUUAGGAAACAAGGGGUCACAGAGGACCACGCUAGAGACAGCAAGCGAAACAGAAGGUGGCUGCCAGCUGCUGAGAACUGAAUUUGUUAGGACAUCCUCUUAAAGGUAUGUGUAAUUGAGUGAAAAGAACUUCAUCAGUUUAAGGUUAGAAGGAAUUCAUUCUUAUGGAAAGCCAAGGAAAGACAGAACCCCAUUUCCUAGGAUUCAUGUGAAAGACCUGGGUUUUUUGGAGACUUUAAGUUUGAAUAAUGCAUAUGUCAACUUCAUGGAUCCAUCCCCAAAUUUGCUUCCUUGGCUCAAUUACUUCACUCUGUCAAUAAGGCUAUACAAAUGAAUUAGACAGCUGAGGACACUGCUCUUACUUCUAAACGAGACCACUUGAAACGACAAGUGUUGCAGCAUCGAAUUUUAAAAUAGUGGCUGUGACCAUUCUAACAUUUUACAGAGAAAAGGGUAGCUGUGAAUUCUUGGGCCCUGAUAAGCCUUGCCAAGGGUUUUUUUUUUUUUUUUUUUUUUUUUUUUUUUUUUUUUUUUUUUGCAACCCCAAUCCAAUUUCACAUGGUAGUUGUUGUUCAUAGGGGCAAGAACCAAAAGUAACACAUCAACUGCGGUCCACACUUCAUUCUGAUAUAUUAGAUUCUCCCCAAUGCCUCCUUUCCGCUUCGAAUUUCCACCCAGACUCCCAUGUUUUGUUUAGCUGUUGUAGCACAGGUCCCCCUGGAGCGGUGGUUCUCAACCUUCCUAAUGCUGCAACCCCUUAAUACAGUUCCUCAUGUUGUGGUGACCCCACAAUCAUAAAAUUAUUUCAUUGUGACUUCACAAUGUUAUGAACAGUAAUGUAAAUAUCUGAUAUGUGAUCCCUGUAGAAGGGGCAUUGGACUUCCAAAGGUGUCGAGACCCAUAGGUUGAGAACCAAAUCACUGCUCUAGAGUCUAGAUUGACAAGAAAUCUUAAUAGGUUUGAAGAGCAGUGCUGUUCUGGUGUUUUCUAAAAGAUUCUACAAUUUGGGUUUGUUUGGCAGUUUUUCUCGUAGACUCGGAUUCCAGAGUUGGAGAGGAUGACCACCACUGAUACCACUUAUACAAAGGAUACAGGCUAUUAAAUGUGGUGCUGAUCCUGACCAGUCCCAGCUAGACAGUAUUGUUAACAGUUUUCUCCACUGUGAUUAGCCAUUUUCUCUCCUUCACGCUGUACUCUUUGGAAGUCACUGUGUGUGUCCCACGCAAAAUGAGUGGGGAUGUAUCUCCAUAAAUUAUCUGAAGGAUUUCA